GUGGGGAAUAUUGGGCAAUGGGCGAAAGCCUGACCCAGCAACGCCGCGUGAGGGAAGAAGGCCUUCGGGUUGUAAACCUCUGUCCUUGGUGACGAAAAAAAUGACGGUAGCCAAGGAGGAAGCCCCGGCUAACUACGUGCCAGCAGCCGCGGUAAUACGUAGGGGGCGAGCGUUGUCCGGAAUUACUGGGCGUAAAGGGUGCGUAGGUGGCCUUUUAAGGUGGAUGUGAAAUACCCGGGCUUAACUUGGGGGGUGCAUCUAAGACUGGAGGGGUAGAGUGCAGGAGAGGGAAGCGGAAUUCCUAGUGUAGCGGUGAAAUGCGUAGAUAUUAGGAAGAACACCAGUGGCGAAGGCGGCUUUCUGGACUGUAACUGACACUGAGGCACGAAAGCGUGGGGAGCAAACAGGAUUAGAAACCCGGGUAGUCC
rnacentral:rRNA from 1 species